rnacentral:other from 1 species
GUUGCGAUCCCUCCAGGGUGAUGAGCGAC